AUAAUAUUUAUAAAUGGUGGUGCAGUAUUCUAGUCAGAUUCCACCGACUCGGAGGCGGGGGUAAAAUAUCGCCGAAGGGCAUAUCGAUGAAGUUUCUGGUGAUGGCUUCUUUUGCCCAAAUUGGGGCUGUUGCUGGGAGUUAAGGUUUUUGGGCGGCUUGCAACGGCAUGCAAACCCCGACCCAAUUUCCGUGGAGACCCGAUUCGGUAGACGAGGUAACAUUCGCUUACUGACCGGGGUUAAACCUGAUAUGCGGUGCAUCUGCGCUGUGUACAGUGUAGCCUGCUUUGAGUGAUUUGGAGGGAUCAAGGAACCACGCUUCUCGGCGUUGCGCAACAACGAGUGGCGAUCGCCUUGUGAAAUCCUCUUUGCAAAAAAAGAUAAGGGCGGGCGGAAUCUGUCAAGGAAAUCUUCUAGACUGUUCAUGCGAGGCGGCUCGGGGAUUAUAGUGUGCUCUAAGUGGCGAUUCGGUUUCUCUUUGAGAUGACUCAUGCAAUAGGAAACUUCUCGGACGGCGACGACGAGUUUUGAGUCAGGGAAAACCUACCGAACCUAUGGCGCAAGGUUUACCCGAGGCGUUGCCACCAUUACAUAGACUUUU
rfam:Firmicutes bacterium CAG:475 genomic scaffold, scf43